rnacentral:lncRNA from 1 species
AGUAACUCAUCGCAAUAUAUUUAGUAGAUCAGCGAGGCAUUCCAUAUUUUUGAGCAAGUAAAGAACUUUAUUUCCACUUUGGAUUAAUCAAAUUUUAGGUAAUUAAAAGAAAUCUAUCAUUCCCUUUUCUAUAAAGUUGCAACAUGGACAGAAUGUGGAUGUGAAAGUUUUUGCUAGACUAGAAUGUAUUUACUUCAAUCACCUGAUUAGCUUCUUACGUGGACGAAACCCUCUGGUAUUGAUGAAUAUAAAAGAAUUAAAUGUGACUGAGGUUUUGAAAAUUAAAAAAUCUUUUUAAAUGAGUAUUGAUUGUUCCUAUAUAUGCAAUUACUAGAAGCUGGAUUGUGGAGUAUAAUGCCAUUACUAGAAGCUUAUUGGCAUAUGGAAAAAACUAGAGAGUAUUUAUGCUUCUAGACCCAUGACUAAUCGUUUUCUUUUGAAGUUAGAUUUGUACUCUUGAGGAUGGAUGAAGGAAUGGGUAUACACAAGAGUUAAAAGGUUGACAACACAAGUAGUCAAUAUUAGAAAAAACAAAAUUGGGGAAAAAGAGCGAAACCUCAUUCUACAAGCCAUUGGUGCAAACAAUACUAGUUAAAAGGAUAACUUUAGGUUUAAUCUUACUAGAUAGAAUAAAAGGUUUUGAAAGGUAACGAGGCAUUGGUGAUGGAAGGUAAUCUAGGAAAUAAAAUUAUGAUUGUCAUGGGAGGAACAUGGCAUAAAGAGGUAGAUUUGGUAUAAAAAACUCUAUUUGAGAUUCUAGAUCUAGAGUGGAAUACAAUAUUAAUAUUUUUAUUGUCAUUGCAAAAUACUAGUUAAAAGGAUAACUUUAGGUUUAAAUGAUACAACUAUAAUUUUAUUGGAGAAUGAUAGGUUUUGAAAAUAGAAAACAAUGUCAAAAGGUAACGAGGCAUUGGUUAUGGGAGGUGGUCCUGUAAUUUACCAUGAAAGAUGGGAGCAAAGUGUUGAAUAUUAAACUCAAUCCAGAAGCUCCCAGAAGGUCAAGGAAGACAACCAGCCACCAGCCACCAGUCGCCGACCAGCCGCCAGCCGCCUUCACACUUGAAGGUUGAAUUUUCUAGUUUUUGAUUUCGUGUAUAAAUAGAGUGCCUAGCUUCUGUUAAUGUGUGUGGAGAGAAUUGAGAGCAAACACUAGAAAGAGAAAUAGAGAGAGAGAGGGCAUGUACUGUUAAGCUUUUGUUAAUUAAUUGUAAGCUUGUGUUUUUGUAACAAAACUUUGUGUUUUAUCCCCUCUGAGUGUUUCAAAGUCACCACCAGUGGUUUCUCCCAUGCACCAACAAUUAGUAUCAGAGCCCCGUUCGUCAGAAAACAGAAGUGUUUUGGGGUACAUCCGAAUUUUCAAAGUUGUCAAAAACAAGUUUUGAUCAUUCCACAGUGAAGAGCUCAUCAAUACGAACUCACUGUCGCAAGAAUCAGCCUUAUCGGAGUCCGCGGUGAUCCACACGCGCCGCCUGAAGAUCCGGUGACUGUAUCCCAUGCGCAUCCACGCGCGCCAUAUUUGAGCCGCGCCGAGCCCGAGCCGCGCCGCAAGCCGAGCCGUCCUCCGCACCGAGAGAAUAUUCCCCAAAAUAUUCCCCGAAUAUUCCUGGUUCAACCUAGCGAACCGCCCGCCGUACAGAAUUGGUUUUUUGACCGGUUCACCCAUUUUCUGACCCGAAUUCAACAAAGUCAGACCGGUUCCCUGCUAUUUGGAUCAUUCCAGAUCGAUCUACAAUGUCCGUUUGGCCAAAUUCGGCUCCUAGAAAGGUGAUAUAAUCAUUCAAAGAGCAAAAUGACUACAGAAGAUACACAUACACUCAUUCCAAAGCUGACCAAAGACAACUAUGAUAGUUGGUGCAUCAGAUUGAAGGCAUUCCUUGGGUCACAAGAGUGUUUGGAUAUUGUACAAACUGGUUAUGAUGAAUCAGAGUCCAAAGAAAGAGAAGAUGUUUUAUAAGAGGCACAAAAGCAAGCUCUUAAAGUCAACAGAAAGAAAGACAACAAAGCAAAGACCAUCAUCUAUCAGGGUCUUGAUGAAGACACAUUCGAGAUCAUAGCUUCCGCUGAAACAUCACAUGAUAUAUGGAGGCUCUCCAACAGAAAUACAAAGGUGCUGACAGAAUUAAAAAAAUUCGUCUUCAAUCUUUGCGAGGUGAAUUUGAGUUAUUGCAAAUGAAGUCCUCGGAGUCUAUUUCUGAUUAUCGCACAAGGAUUAUGGUGAUAGUCAACCAGAUGAGGAGAAAUGGAGAAGCCAUCGUCGAUUCUCGAAUUACUGAGAAAAUUUUGAGAUCGCUAGAUCCAAAAUUCGAUUUUGUUGUUGUCGCAAUUGAAGAAUCUAAAGAAGUGGACAAGUUGACAGUUGAUGAACUUAUGAGUUCUUUGCAAGCUCAUGAGCAGAAAAUUGUAAAGGGAAAUGGAGAUAAGGCAAUUGAGCAUGCCUUACAAGCAAAGCUGUCUCUCAAGGACAAAUAUGAGCAAGGGGAGACUUCAACAAAUGGAUAUACCACUCAAGCAGGAAGUCAACAAUCCAGAGGAGGAUUCCAGAGAUUCCAAGGAAGAGGUUCUUGGAAUACAAGCUUUAGAGGAAGAGGUGGCAGAAACAUCAUUAGAGGAGAUCGAGGACAACAAGCAUUCAAUCCUAGAGGAAGAGGGGGCGAUUACAAUAACCAUGACAAGAGGAAUAUCCAAUGUUAUAGUUGCAAUCAAUUUGGGCACUAUAGCACUGAAUGCAGAAGGAAAGCUCUAUUGGAGAUACGUGAGCAAGCCAACUAUGCAGAGAAGGAUGACAGAGAAGAAGCUGCAUUUCUUGUCCAACAAGAACAAAAUUAAGAUAAGGAAAUGAAAUAUUAUAGUUUUACAAUAAUAUAAUUGUUUUUUGCAUUAUACUUACCUAAUUACAAUGUGGUUUUCCCACACAUUUCUUACAACCCCCUCAUUUUCCUUGUCCUGGUAAUUUUUUUUCCUUGUAGUCAAACAUUAGUUAUUUUUAAAAAAAUUUUAAAAACUAUAUAUUAACUCAAUGUAUAUAUUAUUUAUUUAACCAUUAACUUUUCCCAAAAACAUCUACUAUAAUCAUACAUUUAGAAUGAUCUUAAAGUUGACUCUAUUAAAACAAUGGUUUUUCAAAAACAAAUUUAAGAUUAAUUGUAUUAAAGAGAAAAACUAUAAAAAAAAAACACAAAAAGUGUACCUAAGAUGUACAUCAUCUUGUAACCCAAAUCAAAUUGACCUUAGACAAUAGGGAAAAAAACAAAAGCUAAAAAAAAUUAAAAAUUUCUGAAAACAAGACUGCUUGAAUAAUAGCAUAGAAAAUCAAUUCAUCAAAAUCAUUUAAUGUAAAACUUAAAAUAAUCUAUUACAAAUAAAUAACUUCAAUGGUAAGAGAAAAAACAUGACUUACAUUGUGUCGUUGGCUUUUUAUGUUGCAAUAAGUUUUCUUGAUACAGGGUCUCUAGAAGAAGGGAUUCUACCUUUUUUGUUUGUGAAAUUCAUUGUUGUAAAUGAGAUCAUUGCAUAAUUAGUUGGCAUCAAAGGACAUAAUAAUCUCUCUCUUUGUAUGAUUAAUAGAAAUGAUACUGUGAAUCUGUAAAUUAUGCCAAAAACGCUUUAUUCUGUUUCUAAAGGACUCGAGGCUAUUGCUCUAAGAGUUGAAGUGCCUAUGUUCAAAAUCAUUUUAAAAUUACCUGCAUUAUUGCAUUUUUGUUCCACUAGAAAUUGUUUCUGAUGUUUUUGACAUCUACAAAUACUGCAAGGUCCUAUCCUGGUACUACUACAUCUGCUUGGUGUGGCCUUGUUAAGUUAACUGGGUAUUUGCAUAAUGUUUCCAGGCUGAUGCUUUUGAAAGCCAGCGUGGACAAUGCAUUGAUAUCACCUGGAAAGUGAUAAUUUAUUUAAAUAAAACAGACUUUACCAAGGUGAUGGAAACAAUGCUAUACUGCCCUGACAAAUAAAUGUAUAAAUGACAUGCGAGAGUUAAACUGGUUUUGCUUACACCAUUGUGCAUAGAACUGCUUAUUUCCUUUUCUGAAGAAUGUUCUUUGUACGCUUAAUUGAACUAGUCUCUUUAAGUGUUCAAUGGUUCUCACCAACCAUUUGUCAAAGAAAUAAAGAAGUCUGUUAAUUUUAUUGGUUUGCCAUUCCAACAGGGGCUGGAUCCCCUUUAAAUUGUGCAUGCAACUUGUUAGCAAACCUCUUAUUUUGGUAGGCAGAGUUUAUCCGUGUUGUGACUUCAGAUAAUAACAAUGACUGAUUUGGUCAAUCUCUCAAAAAGUUUUCUGUAUUCCCGAGAGUAAUAAUCCUAAUCAUCAUUUUAGGUUAGUUGACAGAAUAUCUUUCUUGGUUAUUUCUUAGUUCAUAUGAACCAAACCUGCCUCAUUCCUCCCCUCAUGCGAGGUAGUUAAGUAGUGUAUGAGCCCUAGUACUGGUUUCAAGAUAUGACUUAUCACUGUGUAUAUGUCUGUAGUUAGUUUAGCUGAGAGUUCAAACAAGUGUUUAUGGUGUUAAACGUUUUUCAAUCAUAAAUUGUUUUGCAGAUAUAAUUGAUGAAUUGGUGAAGAAUGGGAAAGAGAUAAGGCUGUAUAUUUUGCUUCUGAAUCUGGUUUGACGAAAAGAUUUUCUCCUGUAUCUCUACUCAAGUCAUAUCUUAAGAAUUCCAAGAAGAUCACAACUACUGUCUUGAAGAAUGGCAAUUAUAGUGUAGCUGCAACGGUGUGUCUAAUCUCUAUCUACAUUGUGUAAUUCUAAUGACAUGAAAUAUUUGAGUCUUAUUAAUUUUUUUGCAGGAUGAGUCAAGUACCUUGGAGUUGAAUUCUAUUAAAGCAAUCAUCAAAUGUGUGGAAGAUCAUAAGCUUGAAUCAGAAUUUUCCCUUGACAGCUUGAGAAAACGGGCUUCUCUGCUUGAAAAAACCAAAGCAGAGAGGAAGAGGGGUACAUCAUCAGCUGCCACUGCUACCAAGUCUCAAAACAAGCGAGGCCAUGGUUCAAGUGGUGGCCGGGACAGUGGACCUACUCCUUAUCGUCAAGCCAAAGCUGCCAAAUUUUCAAACAAUUAUUCCUCUUUCAGCCGCAGGAAUGCUCCUCUCCCUGCACAGCAUAGCCCGGCUAGAAGAUAUUCAGGGCCAUUCCACUACCCUAGCCAGAGUGUCUACGAGGGCCCCGCAGCAGCCCCGUAUGCAUCAACUUAUGGUAUCUCGCACGCUCAAAGCCCUUCUGCAAUCUCUCAACAACCCUACCAUCACUCUCAAAGCCCCAGUGCAAUUCCUCAACAACUCUACUCACAGCCAGCGGAGAACAUGAGUGCUGCCGGUUUCCGUGCCAGUGGUUCUUAUGGAAGCCAGACCGGGUUACGGGGCAUAUGAUUACGGCUCUGCUGCACCCGUUACUUACCAACCUUCAUCCUACACUCAAUAAGAUGGGAGGAACCUAGCCAGGUGUUAAGAUUCUUAUUUUUAUUUGGUGUCUGAUUUCUGGAUGUGGCCCUCUAAUUUUGGGACCCGCCCCCUUCAUCUCCCUUUCCCGUAUAAAAGUUUUUUUUUGGUCUUAUCUCAUGACUGGAUAUGAUGCCCAUGCCUGUAACGCUGAUUACCUUUAUAUGGAGCUCAAGCUGGAUGUGAUUUCCGUGCUGUGAGUUUUAAAUGGUUUGGCUAUCGAGCAUUGUGAUUACUCUCAUGAUUGGAGUCGCCAUUGGGCGCCUAUGCUUGUUUUUUUGCUAAAUUUUGGCAUGCCUAAUAGACUAAUUUGUUAAAUCACAACAAUUUAGUAAUCAUGCUAAAAAUCCAAUUUAGUAAGAACAUGGCUAUGAUGGGUAACAAUUAGCUAGCCCUUGUAAUUGAUAGACGUCAUUCUUUUGGCCACGAGAGGUCUGAAAAUAACUCACAAACAUUCAGACCAAUGGAGAAGCUUGUAUUACAUGUUCUAUAAAAUGGUUAUUCAUCAUCUAAUUCUUUAUAUAAACAAAUAACUACACAUGAAUAGAACAAUAAUGUUCCCUUAUAGUUUAUAAUAUUGCCACCUUUGUGAGUAUCAUUACCUUUGUGAAUAUCAUUUUGCCUCUACCAUCACAACCUCACAGUUAAUUUUUUUUUUCAUCAUUCAAUUUUUUUUUAAAAUUAGUCUUAUAAUUUGUUUUUUCAAUUCAGCUAUCCCCGAUUUCAUUACCAGAACUACAUGUUUGAUGAAUUUUUUUUGGGUCGCUGUUUUUUUAUUUAAAAUUUUAUUAGUUUCAUCCUUGAACAUUUGGUUCCUUUAGAAUUGAUUAUUGUAAUCAUUCUAAAGACAUGCAUAAAUUGUUUUAAGGCCUUAAAGUGCAUCUUCAUUCAUCUCAGAAACUGAAAAAAUAAAAAAAAAUCAAAUAAAAGAAACCUAAUUAUUUUUCCUGGCCUUGAUCUCUUUUUCUUUGUCCUUCUAGGGUGGUGUAAUCACCAUCAACAAAAUGGCCUUUUAAGGAAGAAGGGGACACUGGACACCAUUAUAGCAGGUUGCAAUGUCAGGAUCUAGAGGAAAGUUUCUCUCCUCGCCUAUCUCUCCUCGGUCCUGUCUCCGAUCUUUACAUACAGGGACUGAAUUUUAAAAAUAGUGUGUUUGUUUUUUAAAUAGGUUUUGUGGUUUUGAUUUUAAAAAAAUAAAUUUAAAAAAAGUGUGGUUAACUAUGAUUAGUUAAAUUUAAAUACGUGUUUAGUAAAAAUUAUAGUUGAAGUUUAUGUGUAACAAAAAUAAUGUAUAAAAUAUUUGGUGGAAGUAUAGUUGCCGUUGUUUUUUAAAGUGUUUUUUACUUGGAAAUGUAUCAAAAUAAUUUUUUUAAAAAAAUUAUUUUUGAUAUCAGCAUUGAUUUGAAAACAAAAAAAAUAUAUCAAUUUGAAGCAAAGAAAAAAAUAAAAAAAUUUAUUUUUUUCAAAAGCGCUUUUGAAACAUAAAAAUAAAUAGGGUUUUAUGAAACUCAAUUAAAAAAUCAUGUAAAAACUACUACAUAAAAAUUACGUUUCAAACUCAACUUUUUAGUAAGUCCCGCAUUACAAACCAAAGUUUAGUUUGUUAAUUACCAAACACUUUGCCAUGUUUGUUUCACCACAAACAAAAAACCAGUGAAGAAAUCCUAAAUAUCUAAAUAAUUUAUACAUGUUUUUUACUACACAUAACCUUUAACUAUAAUUUUUAUUAAACACAUAUUUAAAUUCAAUUAAUUACAAUUGACUCUAUUUAAAAAAAAAAACUUAUUUUUUUAAAUUAAAAUCUCAAAAACUAUCUAAAAAAUAAAGAAACGAGUGAGGAUGUUGAUGAUGCCAAGCAAGUCAGUGUAAAGUGGAAAUCUUGACAAGAUGUUGUAGCCUUCAUAAAAAGUACAAUGCAGUACAAAACGAGAGGUGAAUGUUUGAGAUUGUUAUAAUUUUUAAUUUUAUAUGAUUUUUAAAAGUAUAUUUUAUUUUAAAAAUAUAUUAAAUUAAUAUUUUUUUAAUAAUUUUUUCUAAAACAUAUUUUUCUAAAACAUAUUUUUAAAAAUAAUUUCCAUCACAACACUAAAAACAUAUAAAUAUUUAUCAUAGUAACAAGAAGUGAUAAUAUUUGAUGUAAAAACGGCUGAAUGUAUAUGUCAUGUUUCGAGAAGCGUCCAUGAUUAUAUCAUUAUGAUCCCAAAAAGAAAAAUAUUAAAUAUUAGGCUACAAUUAUUUAUAUACAGUUUUAAAACCUGGACCGGCCCGGCAGGUCAACUCGGGCCGAGACCGGUCCAGGUAGAGGCAAAAAUCUACUUGGAAAUUGACUCGGUAAAACCCGGUCGAUCUGCCGGGUUGACCCCGUGACCUGGACCACCCGGUCAAACCCGGCUGACACAUGAUCUCUCUUUCUCUCUUUCUCUAUAUAUAUAUAUAGACGUUAAACGACGUCGUUUUGGCCUUAAAAGGCCAAAACGAUGAACAAUGACGAAGCAGAAUUGGGGACACAUUGAUUACAGAGCAAACCCAAUUAACGAAAGAUUCCAUCACAGCCAAUGCAACUACAGUCUGGUCUAUAAGCUUUUGGCUUUCUUCUUUGCUCUUGCCAAUUAGGAUUUUUGCGUUUCGAGUGAUCGAUUUGCCCAUCAAAGUUGAAGUGAAGGGAGUGAGUUGGUUACAGAGAGAACUCCAUUCUAGGAUUUUAAGGGUUUUGAGUUGGAGUGAGCGAGCUGGAGGAGUGAGUUUCGGUGAGUGUGAAUCAAAGGGUUUUGUUAGGGCUUUGGUGGAGAAGGGUGGUUUGGUGGUGAAGAAGAGAAUCGGGGAUUUUUUAAUGGCUAUUAAAUGAUUGGAGAGUUUGAUUAAUGAAGGAUUUUUGAGGGAGAGAAGGAAAGGGAUGGGCUGUUUGACAACAACUUAUCCUUUUUAUUUUCAGCUUAUCUUUUAUUUUAGGUUGACUUGUUUUUAGGUUGACUCGUGUCAAUCAAUCUAACUCGUGAUUCGAUCACUUGACUAGAUUGAUAUCCGGAUCGAUUUUUAAAAUUAUGAUUUCUAUAAUUAGGUUACAUUUCGUUAUAGUCAUGUAUUUGAAAAAAUAUUUAGUUAAUAAAUAUAUAUAUAUAUAUAUAUAUAUAUAUAUGUUUUACUAAAAAUUAUUUUAAAAUUUUAAUUAAAAUAUAAUAUAUUUUAUAACUUUUUUUAAAAUGUAUUUUUUAAAAUCACAUAUCUAUCACAAAGAAAGAUCUUUUCAUACAUCCCAACUUUAGGCUAGAAGAUAUUCAGGGCCAUUCCACUACCCUAGCCAGAGUGUCUACGAGGGCCCCGCAGCAGCCCCGUAUGCAUCAACUUAUGGUAUCUCGCACGCUCAAAGCCCUUCUGCAAUCUCUCAACAACCCUACCAUCACUCUCAAAGCCCCAGUGCAAUUCCUCAACAACUCACUCACAGCCAGCGGAGACAUGAGUGCUGCCGGUUUCCGUGCCAGUGGUUCUUAUGGAAGCCAGACCGGUUACGGGGCAUAUGAUUACGGCUCUGCUGCACCCGUUACUUACCAACCUUCAUCCUACACUCAAUAAGAUGGGAGGAACCUAGCCAGGUGUUAAGAUUCUUAUUUUAUUUGGUGUCUGAUUUCUGGAUGUGGCCCUCUAAUUUUGGGACCCGCCCCCUUCAUCUCCCUUUCCCGUAUAAAAGUUUUUUUUUGGUCUUAUCUCAUGACUGGAUAUGAUGCCCAUGCCUGUAACGCUGAUUACCUUUAUAUGGAGCUCAAGCUGGAUGUGAUUUCCGUGCUGUGAGUUUUAAAUGGUUUGGCUAUCGAGCAUUGUGAUUACUCUCAUGAUUGGAGUCGCCAUUGGGCGCCUAUGCUUGUUUUUUUGCUAAAUUUUGGCAUGCCUAAUAGACUAAUUUGUUAAAUCACAACAAUUUAGUAAUCAUGCUAAAAAUCCAAUUUAGUAAGAACAUGGCUAUGAUGGGUAACAAUUAGCUAGCCCUUGUAAUUGAUAGACGUCAUUCUUUUGGCCACGAGAGGUCUGAAAAUAACUCACAAACAUUCAGACCAAUGGAGAAGCUUGUAUUACAUGUUCUAUAAAAUGGUUAUUCAUCAUCUAAUUCUUUAUAUAAACAAAUAACUACACAUGAAUAGAACAAUAAUGUUCCCUUAUAGUUUAUAAUAUUGCCACCUUUGUGAGUAUCAUUACCUUUGUGAAUAUCAUUUUGCCUCUACCAUCACAACCUCACAGUUAAUUUUUUUUUUCAUCAUUCAAUUUUUUUUUAAAAUUAGUCUUUAUAAUUUUGUUUUUCAAUUCAGCUAUCCCGAUUUCAUUACCAGAACUACAUGUUUGAUGAAUUUUUUUUUGGGUCGCUGUUUUUUUUAUUUAAAAUUUUAUUAGUUUCAUCCUUGAACAUUUGGUUCCUUUAGAAUUGAUUAUUGUAAUCAUUCUAAAGACAUGCAUAAAUUGUUUUAAGGCCUUAAAGUGCAUCUUCAUUCAUCUCAGAAACUGAAAAAAUAAAAAAAAAUCAAAUAAAAGAAACCUAAUUAUUUUUCCUGGCCUUGAUCUCUUUUUCUUUGUCCUUCUAGGGUGGUGUAAUCACCAUCAACAAAAUGGCCUUUUAAGGAAGAAGGGGACACUGGACACCAUUAUAGCAGGUUGCAAUGUCAGGAUCUAGAGGAAAGUUUCUCUCCUCGCCUAUCUCUCCUCGGUCCUGUCUCCGAUCUUUACAUACAGGGACUGAAUUUUAAAAAUAGUGUGUUUGUUUUUUAAAUAGGUUUUGUGGUUUUGAUUUAAAAAAAUAAGUUUAGAAAAAGGUGUGGUUAACUAUGAUUAGUUAAAUUUAAAUACAUGUUUAGUAAAAAUUAUAGUUGAAGUUUAUGUGUAACAAAAAUAAUAUAUAAAAUAUUUGGUGGAAGUGUUGGUUGUUUGUUUUUUACUUGGAAAUACAUCAAAAUAAUUUUUUUUUAAUUAUUUUUUAUAUCAGCAUUGAUUUGAAAACAAAAAAUAUAUCAAUUUGAAGCAAGGAAAAAAAUAAAAAAAUUUAUUUUUUUCAAAAGCGUUUUGAAACGUAAAAAUAAAUAGGGUUUUAUGAACUCAAUUAAAAAAUCAUGUAAAAAUACUACAUAAAAAUUGCGUUUCAAACUCAAUUUUUUAUAAGUCCCGCAUUACAAACCAAGUUUGGUUUGUUAAUUACCAAACACUUUGCCAUGUUUGUUUCACCGCAAACAAAAAACCAGUGAAAAAAUCUAAAUAUCUAAAUAAUUUAUACAUGUUUUUUACUACACAUAAAAUUUAACUAUAAUUUUUAUUAAAUACAUAUUUAAAUUCAAUUAAUUACAAUUGACUCUAUUUAAAAAAAACUUAUUUUUUUAAAUUAAAAUCUCAAAAACUAUCUAAAAAAUAAAGAAACGAGUGAGGAUGUUGAUGAUGCCAAGCAAGUCAGUGUAAAGUGGAAAUCUUGACAAGAUGUUGUAGUCUUCAUAAAAAGUACAAUGCAGUACAAAACGAGAGGUGAAUGUUUGAGAUUGUUAUAAUUUUUAAUUUUAUAUGAUUUUUAAAAGUAUAUUUUAUUUUAAAAAUAUAUUAAAUUAAUAUUUUUUUAAUAAUUUUUUAUAAAACAUAUUUUUAAAAAUAAUUUCCAUCACAACACUAAAAACAUAUAAAUAUUUAUCAUAGUAACAAGAAGUGAUAAUAUUUGAUGUAAAAACGGCUGAAUGUAUAUGUCAUGUUUCGAGAAGCGUCCAUGAUUAUAUCAUUAUGAUCCCAAAAAGAAAAAUAUUAAAUAUUAGGCUACAAUAUUUAUCAUAAUUUUAAAACUCGGACCGGCCCGCAGGUCGACUCGGGUCUGGAACCGGUCCAAGUGGAGGCAAAAAUCCACUUGGAAAUUGACUCGGUGAAACCUGGUCGAUCUGCGGGUCGACCCGUGACCCGGAUCACCCGGUCAAACCCGGCUGACACUUGACUCUCUCUCUUAUAUAUAUAUAUAUAUAUAGACGUUAAAAGACCGUUUUGGCCUUUUAAAAGGCCAAAACGAUUAACAAUGACGAAGCAGAAUUGGGACACAUUGAUUACAGAGCAAACCCAAAUAACGAAAGAUUCCAUCACAGCCAAUGCAACUACAGUCUGGUCUAUAAGCUUUUGGCUUUCUUCUUUGCUCUUGCCAAUUAGGAUUUUUGCGUUUCGAGUGAUCGAUUUGCCCAUCAAAGUUGAAGUGAAGGGAGUGAGUUGGUUACAGAGAGAACUCCAUUCUAGGAUUUUAAGGGUUUUGAGUUGGAGUGAGCGAGCUGGAGGAGUGAGUUUCGGUGAGUGUGAAUCAAAGGGUUUUGUUAGGGCUUUGGUGGAGAAGGGUGGUUUGGUGGUGAAGAAGAGAAUCGGGGAUUUUUUAAUGGAUAAAUGAUUGGAGAGUUUCAUUAAUGAAGGAUUUUUGAGGGAGAGAAGGAAAGGGAUGGCUGUUUGGACUUAUCCUUAUUUCAGCUUAUUUUUUUUUUAGAGUUUAUGCCGUGUCAAUCAUCUGACUCGUGAUCCGAUCACUUGACUAGAUUGAUAUCCGGAUCGGGUUUCAAAACUAUGAUUUCUAUAAUUAGGUUACAUUUCGUUAUAGUCAUGUAUUUGAAAAAUAUUUAGUAUUAUAUAUAUAUAUAUAUAUAUAUAUAUAUGUUUUACUAAAAAUUAUUUUAAAAUUUUAAUUAAAAUAUAAUAUAUUUUAUAACUUUUUUUAAAAUGUAUUUUUUAAAAUCACAUAUCUAUCACAAAGAAAGAUCUUUUCAUACAUCCCAACUUUAGGCUAGAAGAUAUUCAGGGCCAUUCCACUACCCUAGCCAGAGUGUCUACGAGGGCCCCGCAGCAGCCCCGUAUGCAUCAACUUAUGGUAUCUCGCACGCUCAAAGCCCUUCUGCAAUCUCUCAACAACCCUACCAUCACUCUCAAAGCCCCAGUGCAAUUCCUCAACAACUCUACUCACAGCCAGCGGAGAACAUGAGUGCUGCCGGUUUCCGUGCCAGUGGUUCUUAUGGAAGCCAGACCGGUUACGGGGCAUAUGAUUACGGCUCUGCUGCACCCGUUACUUACCAACCUUCAUCCUACACUCAAUAAGAUGGGAGAAACCUAGCCAGAUGUUAAGAUGAAGACAAAGAUCUGGUGCUCGAUUGAUGUUCAAUUUUAUCAAAUUAUGUUUAAAUUAAGUUGAUUUAAAGCAAUUAGGCCUUAAGGAAUCAAAUUUGAUUAUGAAACAAAUAUGGGAGACUGAAAUUAAUGGGUAUAGUUAAAAAGACACAGUAGCUGUGGCAGCGUAUGCAAUCUUUUCUAGCGGCCAACUCACCCUUCCAUGGUAGCGAUCGAUGCAUCUUAGAAUUCUUUUUCUGCAAUGGUAACACAUGUGUCGCCUAAUUUUUGGUUAUUUUUAUUUUAAUUAUUUUAUUUACCGAAAAGGAUAAAAUGAUGAUAAAAAAAAUAAUAAUGAUGAAAAACAAGUAAAAUAAAGAAUAAAUUAAAAUUUAGGUUAAGGACAACAUGAUGGAAAGUUUUGGGGUUUAAUUAAACUUUGGAAUUAAUCUAAUUAAUCCAAUCAAGGGCUUAAUUGGAGAAUUGAUAAGUUUUAAGACUUAAUUGAGCUUGAAAUUAAUUUAAUUAAUCCAAUCAAUGUUUUAAUUGGAGAAUUGAUAAGUUUUUGGACUUAAUUGAGCUUGGAAUUAAUUUAAUGAAUGAAAUCAAGGACGUAAUUGAAGAAAUAUCAAAGUUUGGGGUUAAUUGGGGUACAAUUUGCAAGAAAUGAAAACGCAAGGACCAAUGUGUAAAUUGCAAUGAGAUGCAGGGGUUCAAUUAAAAUUUACCCAACGACUGGACUGCUAAAAUUCAAAAUGACAAGGAUCAAAAUGCAAUUAGCCAUGUCCAUCAACACUAUUCAUCUUUUCCUUCACUCGCCCGAACAAAAACGGAUGCAUCGCCAUUACUCCUGCAAUAACAGUCAAUUUAUUACCUGGUAACGGUGGCAUUCUGUGGCUAUAAAGCCAGAGAGAACAAAGGGGCUAGAGAAGGGGGAACCGAAAAGCCACUGGUGAUCAUAGAACCGAAAAGCCACUGGUGAUCAUAGAACCGUGAGCAGCAGUGGAAGAUCUUCAUCCCCAGCAGCUUCCUCCAUUUCAAGCAGCUCCUCGCCACGGUUAGUCUCCACCCCAACACCAGAUACUCCAAGAUCAGCCACCGUGGGUAGUGUUGCCACCAAUCACCUCACACAGCAUCGUGAACUCCAACAGCAAGGCAACUGUCAGCAGCCUUGCAACAACCAGCAUCUCCCUUCUGCACCGUGAGCUUCAAUCACUCCACCAGCAUCACUAGUUCCAUCGUGACUAGCAUCACCAGCAGCUUAUCUCAGCAAAUCAGUAGCUCAUCACGGUGGCGACUGAUUUUUGAAGAGAGGCUGAAGCGUUCCUCAGCAACUCUUCUAGACAGGGAGGAGAAGAACCCCCAUCUCUUUUGUUCAGACCUCCAUCACCAUCAACCAUCGCCUUUCAUCUUCCAACAAAUAGCGUAAGCAGCAGCACAGGAAGGGAGGACUAGAGAAGACGCAGAACAACAGAAACAGAGGGGGAAACAGUAGCAGUCGGGCAAGCCUCCGUCACCAUCGACAUCGUCUUCGCCUUCACCUCGCAGCUGCGCCACCCCAGCAGCUCUUCCUCACCGUGACAUCCAGCAGUCUUCCCUUGAAGCAGCCGUCUCCCUCAGCCUUGCCAGGUAAGUUCUUCAGCUUUCCUUCUUUUGGUAAAUUAAUUACCUGUUACUGUUGCAUGCAUGCGUGAGUGAUUCACGCAUGCAUGCAACAGUGGCAGCCGGGUCACUGGUUUGGACCAGUGACCCGAACUUUUUUUUUUUUUUUUACCAUGCAACAUCAAUAAACAGAAAAAUAAAAAAAAUAGAAAAAAUAAAAAAUGUGUAUGCAUGAAUAAAAAUAAUGUAAAUUUAUUGGUUUAUUCACUGAAACCAGAGUCAGGAAUAAAAAUACCGGUUUAAAUAUAUAUUAUUUUUAUUCGUUGUAUUUUUAUUUUAUUUAGCUAGAAAAAUAACAAAUAUGUGCAUGAAUAAAAAUAAAUUUAUUUUUAUUUAUUUAUUCACUGGCACUAAAAUAGGGAAUAAAAAAAUAUUGAUUUUUUUUUUCAUAGCUAUGAAUUUUUACCAACGCCAGAGUUGGAAUUAUUCGAGCUCGAAUAUUCACUGGCGUCAGAGUCAGGAAUAUUAUAAAACAAAUCAUCAUAGCAUAAACUAAUAAAUAUUUAGCAAUUUAAGACAUAAACCAGCAAUGCAGUCUGUCUUAGGCAGAACGUUUAAAGGGUGAUAAUAUCUUCCCUUUUAAGUAACUAAUCCCGAGCCAUAGAAUCUCUGUUGACCAGUUAGGGUUCCUAGUAACCAUAAUACUAGGUGACGACUCCUUAAACAAGAUAUUUUCUUUAAAAGAACCGGAUGCCAGAAAUCUGUUCUUUUUCCAUAAUUCAAGAGAAUUAUUUUGAGGGCCGAUGCGAUGUCGGGUGCGACAACAUGUAUUCUUAUUCUUAGUGUUGUGUUGUUGGUGUUAUUUAUUUUAUUUUUUUCCAUAUUUUCCCUCUUUUCUCUUUAAAAUUCAUGAUAGCCAUUUCAAAGUUCAUAGUUGUCUCCUUAUUUUAGUAUUAUUUCAAAUGCAAUCCUUUUUUUAUUACUAAGUUUUUGUUCUAGAUCUUUUUCUAAAAUGUAAAAUUAUUUUCAAUUUUAUCAUUCAAUAAAAAAUUAUAAGUUGUCCUUUCAAUUCAUUUUUAAAAUUUGGUCCAUAUUUUUUUAAUUCCUAUUUUUAGUUUUUGAUCCUAUAGUGAAAUUAAAUUUUCCUUCCAUUUUCAUCAUCUAAUUUGUUUUUAUUUCUAAUUCUAUUCUUAUUCUUUUGGUUUUUUUUUAGAGCCUUUUGUAAAAUUAAAUUUUUUAAAUUAAUUUUUCAGCAUGAGGUUAUUUAAGAAUUGGAUUCCAUGUGUUUUUAUUGAUGGGAUGAUUCAUGACAUGGACCAAGUCAUAUAUUUAAAAAAUUGACCCGGGUUAACAUUGUUCUUUUAUUUAUUGAGUUUUAUUUUUUUUAUACACGUUUUAUUUUUUAUUUUCAUCCUUUAAUUUUUUUUUAAUUGAGCUUUAUGAUUUUUUUUUUAAUUUUCUUUCAAUCAUGUUAUCCUUAUUCAUCUCAGAAACUGAAAAAAAAAAAAAUAAAUGAAACCUAAUUAUUUUUCGUGGCCUUGAUCUCUUUUUCUUUGUCUUUCUAGGGUGCUGUAAUCACCAUCAACAAAGUGGCCUUUUAAGGAAGAAGUGGCUCAAAUUGUUUCUAUAGUUGGGUUACAUUUUAAUAUAGUCAUGUAUUUGAAAAAGUAUUUAGUUAAUUAAUAUUUAUUACAUAUAUAUAUAUAUACACACACAUUACUAAAAAUUAUUUUAAAAUUUUAAUUAAAAUAUAAUAUAAUUUAUAAAUCCCAACUUUCGCAAGAAUAGUAAUCAUGAGUCCUGACAUGUCCUCUUCCUUGUUGAAUUCUACGGGCUUCGAAUGUCAUGUUCAUGCCGAUUUACUAGGGUAUUUCUUUAUGCAUGCAUGCAAAAUAAUAUAAUAAUUAAUUAUUAGUUGAUAGAGGCUGAUAAAUAAAUAAAAAUAUAUAGUUUAUUGAGUUUCCAAAACAAAAUAAUCGCAUCAUGCAUGUGGUCUUCAACCAAAUCUACUACUGUUUGCAAAAAUAGUGUUCAUGUAGAUUAAUAAGGCCAUGUUUGUUUCUCGGAAAGUAGUUUUUAGAAAAUUAUUUUCCAAACUUUCUUGUGUUUGUUUGUCAUUAGAAAAGUUGGUCAACGGAAAACACUUUCCAGUAAAAAAAAAAUUUUAACUUGGUUUUCAGGAAAGUAUUUUCCUUUUAGAUGUGCUUGUUUUCUGGAAAGUGGUUUCCGAGAAAUUACUUUCCAAACUUUCUUGUGUUUGUUUGCCAGUAGAAAAGUUGGUCAAUGAAAAAUACUUUCCAGUAAAAGGAAAAUUUGGCUUGGUUUUCAGAAAAGUGUUUUCCUGAAAAAUUUAAGGGGAAAACACUUUCCGGAAGUUGUGAAAAAUUUAGAAAUGUCAUUAUUUUCUGAUUAUAUCAAAUUUGAUCCUCAAACUUUUGAUUGCUAUAUAUAUUUUGUUUUGAAUAUUUAUUUUUCAAUUUCAUCUCUUAAAAUGUUAUUUUUAUAUUAGCGUUGGUCCUUAUUUUUAUAGUUGCUAUUUGCUUUUUCCUUAUUAUUUUUUUAUUGAAAUUUUUUAUUUAUCAAAUUUGAUCCUCAUUCUUUUUAUUGUUACUUAUUUUAUUUGAAAUAAUUUAUGAAAUGUUGAUUAUUAUUAUUUUAAUUUCUUCAUUUUUUUUUUUUAGAUUUGAUCCCUAUUAUUUUGAUUAUUAUUUAUUUUAUUUGAGAUAAUUUAUGAAAUUAUAUUUUUUUUUUCAAUUUCAUUCUCAUUCAACUUUUUAAUUUGUAAGAUUUGUUCCUCAUUAUUUUAAUAAACUUGAGAAAAAUAAAAUAUUAAUAAGUUAUUUUCUAGCUCAUUUUCCAUGACAUAACCAAACACUGGAAAGUGUUUUCCAACUCAUUUUCCAUUACACUACCAAACAUCGGAAAAUACUUUAUCGGAAUUCACUUUCUCCGGAAUUCACUUUUCAAAAGGAAAACUUUCCAGCAAACAAACGGAGCCUAAGUACUAUUUAUUGAAACAAAGUAAUGAUAUUUUGCUUUUCUUGUAAAAGAAUUUGAACAAGUUAUUUAAGAUAGUUUCACAAGUUUCAUUUGUUAUUAUCGGGUCAAAUUAAUAAGUGUUUUUGCAUUUUAAAAUUAUAGUGAAAUAAUUAAAAUAUUCUUAUAUGUAAAAAAUUAUAAAUUGAUGUCCAAGAACUUUUUAGUAUUUUCACAUUAGUUUUUUCGUUAUUAUUAGGUUAGUUGAAGGAAAAUUUGGUAUUUUAAUAAAUAUAAAAUAUUAUUUAAAAACAAAAAACGGCUAGCCUAUGUAAUGCUUGUGCUAGCGUAUGGGUGGUGCUAGCUCCAUUCGGGUGGCAUCUCUCGACGACCGAACACUAGCUUUUGCCAUGUUAUUAAUUGAAAGCAUUGCAAUAUAAUCUUCCUUUAAGAACGGCACGUUGUGUUAUUGGGGUGGUUAUGUGAUGUUGGUGACCUUUUUUUCUUCUCAUCCCACUUUAGUCUUUCCUCCUUUUAAAAAUCAUGUUGGUCAUGUGAAAUUUUAAAGUUGUCCUUUAAUUUAUUGAGAUGUCAAAUUCAUUAUUAUUUUUUUUGAUAUUUUUUUUUUUGUUCUUGGUUAUUUUGUGAAAUUUUUAGUUAUUUUUAAUUUUAUCCUUCAAUCUCAAUUUGUGAUACAUUAUAUUUUUUUCAAUUUAGUCCUUAUUCUUUUGAUAUUUUUAUUUUUUGAGUCCUUUUAUAAAAUUGAAUUUUCUUUUCAAUUUCAUCCUUCAAUUAAAAAUAAAAUUUAUUUUUUAUUUUAAUUUUAAUUUGCAUUCCUUCAAGUACCCUUUUUUUUAAUCUCUCUGUAUAAUUGAUUUUUCUUUUUUUCAUUUUUAAAUUUUAUCAAAAACGCACGCGAUUCGUUGUUGUCAAACUAUCUAGUGCUAAGAAUUCGAAAGUCAAGUACCCUGCAAUAUGAAAGAACUCUGAAAACACACACCAGAGACAUGCAUGUUCUGCUUUAUAUAUAACCAAAGUCGUUACAAGAAAGAAGAGAAAGUGCUUAUCUAUUUGUUACAAGAGAUACAAAUUACAUGAGAUUUAAAUACAAGAUAAAAUGCCCUCCCGUUUGCAAGCUAUCCAGUUUGAACUGGAUGUGAUCCUAUUCUCUACCCAUAAAAAUAAUACUGAAUUUAAAGGGAUUUGCAGUCAGGACAGACAAUAAUGAUUUUCCAGCUGCAAGCAUCAAUCUAUAGGAAAAACCUAAUUGAUAAUAAUAAAAAAAGGCUUGGAAUGUGAUGAUGGUUAGGAAAAAUCCAGUACGUUCGUGCACCGUGAUUGUCAGCAUGAAUGUAAAUGCUAAACCCAUGCAGAAAAGGGAGUAGAAAUUAAAAUAUGUCGCCAUCUCCAUGCAUAUUGUUACAUAAUUGGUACCACCUAAUGAUAUCUGACAAAGGAUUAUAGCGGCGAUGAGGGAGAGAUUCAUAGCUAGCAUGUCGAAAAAAACAUAAGCUCUCAUCAGAUUUUUUGAACUACCACUGCUAAGAUCACGACCUGAUCCAGGCACAGUGAUAGCACCAGCGAAGGUUACUCCAACUACCAGUACUGCCACCACGAGAAGAUUCCCUACCCCUCUGUUCAGUUGCUCCGUCGUUAACGUCGUUCUUGGUAAAUCAAAGAUAGGACUGAUGCAAGGCUCAGGCAUAUCAUCUGCCUCCUCCAAAACUUUAAAUACCUUACGCUGAACAACAAAGUGUUUAUUAGAAAAUAUAUGGUAAACAAAUUAAUUAUAUAAAGCAUCAUGACAAUGCUAGCUUAAUGUCCCAUAAUAACGAAGAAGGAAUUCAUCGCUAUAUAUUUAGUAGAUCAGCGAGGCAUUCCAUAUUUUUGAGCAAGUAAAGAACUUUAUUUCCACUUUGGAUUAAUCAAAUUUAAGGUAAUUGAAAGAAAUCUAUCAUUCCCUUUUCUAUAAAGUUGCAACAUGGACAGAAUGUGGAUGUGAAAGUUUUUGCUAUACUAGAAUGUAUUUACUUCAAUCACCUGAUUAGCUUCUUACGUGGACCAAAGCAACUAGAAUAUAAUUUGACUUGGAUGCGAAUGGUUCUUUAAAUGGCUAACCAAAACCCUCUGGUAUUGAUGAAUAUAACAGAAUUAAAUGUGACUGAGGUUUUGACAAUUAAAAAAUCUUUUUAAAUGAGUAUUGAUUGUUCCUAUGCAAUUACUAGAAGCUGGAUUGUGGAGUAUAAUGCCAUUACUAGAAGCUUAUUGGCUAUAAGAGAUAAUUAAUGAAGUUAUCUUUAUUGGCAUAUGGAAAAAACUAGAGAGUAUUUAUGC